rnacentral:rRNA from 1 species
AGUCGAGGGGUAGAAGUCUUCGGACUUUGAGACCGGCGCACCGGUGCGUAACGCGUAUGCAAUCUACCUUUUACAGAGGGAUAGCCCAGAGAAAUUUGGAUUAAUACCUCAUAGUAUUAUGAAAUGGCAUCAUUUUAUAAUUAAAGUCACAACGGUAAAAGAUGAGCAUGCGUCCCAUUAGCUAGUUGGUAAGGUAACGGCUUACCAAGGCUACGAUGGGUAGGGGUCCUGAGAGGGAGAUCCCCCACACUGGUACUGAGACACGGACCAGACUCCUACGGGAGGCAGCAGUGAGGAAUAUUGGACAAUGGGCGCAAGCCUGAUCCAGCCAUGCCGCGUGCAGGAUGACGGUCCUAUGGAUUGUAAACUGCUUUUAUACGAGAAGAAACACUACUUCGUGAAGUAGCUUGACGGUAUCGUAAGAAUAAGGAUCGGCUAACUCCGUGCCAGCAGCCGCGGUAAUACGGAGGAUCCAAGCGUUAUCCGGAAUCAUUGGGUUUAAAGGGUCCGUAGGCGGUUUAAUAAGUCAGUGGUGAAAGCCCAUCGCUCAACGGUGGAACGGCCAUUGAUACUGUUAAACUUGAAUUAUUAGGAAGUAACUAGAAUAUGUAGUGUAGCGGUGAAAUGCUUAGAGAUUACAUGGAAUACCAAUUGCGAAGGCAGGUUACUACUAAUGGAUUGACGCUGAUGGACGAAAGCGUGGGUAGCGAACAGGAUUAGAUACCCUGGUAGUCCACGCCGUAAACGAUGGAUACUAGCUGUUGGAAGCAAUUUCAGUGGCUAAGCGAAAGUGAUAAGUAUCC